rnacentral:rRNA from 1 species
GAACGCUGGCGGCAUGCCUAACACAUGCAAGUCGAACGAGACCUUCGGGUCUAGUGGCGCACGGGUGCGUAACGCGUGGGAACCUGCCUUUAGGUUCGGGAUAACAGUUAGAAAUGACUGCUAAUACCGGAUGAUGUCUUCGGACCAAAGAUUUAUCGCCUUUAGAUGGGCCCGCGUUGGAUUAGCUAGUUGGUGGGGUAAAGGCCUACCAAGGCGACGAUCCAUAGCUGGUCUGAGAGGAUGAUCAGCCACACUGGGACUGAGACACGGCCCAGACUCCUACGGGAGGCAGCAGUGGGGAAUAUUGGACAAUGGGCGAAAGCCUGAUCCAGCAAUGCCGCGUGAGUGAUGAAGGCCUUAGGGUUGUAAAGCUCUUUUACCCGGGAUGAUAAUGACAGUACCGGGAGAAUAAGCUCCGGCUAACUCCGUGCCAGCAGCCGCGGUAAUACGGAGGGAGCUAGCGUUGUUCGGAAUUACUGGGCGUAAAGCGCACGUAGGCGGCUUUUUAAGUCAGGGGUGAAAUCCCGGGGCUCAACCCCGGAACUGCCCUUGAAACUGGAGAGCUAGAAUCUUGGAGAGGCGAGUGGAAUUCCGAGUGUAGAGGUGAAAUUCGUAGAUAUUC